rnacentral:rRNA from 1 species
AUUGAACGCUGGCGGAAUGCUUUACACAUGCGAGUCGAACGGCAGCACGGGGGCAGCCCUGGUGGCGAGUGGCGAACGGGUGAGUAAUACAUCGGAACGUGCCCGGUCGUGGGGGAUAACGUAGCGAAAGUUACGCUAAUACCGCAUACGAUCUGAGGAUGAAAGCGGGGGACCUUCGGGCCUCGCGCGAUCGGAGCGGCCGAUGUCAGAUUAGGUAGUUGGUGGGGUAAAGGCCUACCAAGCCGACGAUCUGUAGCUGGUCUGAGAGGACGGCCAGCCACACUGGGACUGAGACACGGCCCAGACUCCUACGGGAGGCAGCAGUGGGGAAUUUUGGACAAUGGGCGCAAGCCUGAUCCAGCCAUUCCGCGUGCAGGACGAAGGCCUUCGGGUUGUAAACUGCUUUUGUACGGAACGAAAAGGCUCUGGCUAAUACCUGGGGCUCAUGACGGUACCGUAAGAAUAAGCACCGGCUAACUACGUG